AACGAACGCUGGCGGCAUGCCUAACACAUGCAAGUCGAACGAGACCUUCGGGUCUAGUGGCGCACGGGUGCGUAACGCGUGGGAAUCUACCCUCAGGUUCGGAAUAACUCAGAGAAAUUUGAGCUAAUACCGGAUGAUGACGUAAGUCCAAAGAUUUAUCGCCUGAGGAUGAGCCCGCGUAGGAUUAGGUAGUUGGUGAGGUAAAGGCUCACCAAGCCGACGAUCCUUAGCUGGUCUGAGAGGAUGAUCAGCCACACUGGGACUGAGACACGGCCCAGACUCCGACGGGAGGGAGCAGUGGGGAAUAUUGGACAAUGGGCGAAAGCCUGAUCCAGCAAUGCCGCGUGAGUGAUGAAGGCCUUAGGGUUGUAAAGCUCUUUUACCCGGGAUGAUAAUGACAGUACCGGGAGAAUAAGCUCCGGCUAACUCCGUG
rnacentral:rRNA from 1 species